UGCUUUCAUAUUUAUGUAUUAUAUUUUAUUUUGCGCAUGAAGUUUGAUACAUUACCUUAAAUCUUGAUUUAAAACACGGGUUGGGCCGUUGUUAAUCUUACACCAUGUAGUGCUAGCAUAUUACUUCUCGCUACCUACUAGCCCCCCCAGCCCCUCCCCGCUGCCCCACACCCAAUUUACCCCGUUUUAUUUCUAGAAGAAAUACCACUUGCGCCAAGUCUAGAAUCUUGAAAGAGAACUGAUGGGUGGCGACUUUCUGGGUUGUUUGAUGUUGUCUUAGGUGAGACGGAGACAGGCAGUCUUAGUAAAGUGUAAUUUUUCAGGAGAUGCUACCGCUAACGUACUAAGCUAAUAUGGCUGCCUUGUAUGCUUCAAGGAGGGGCUGUGAACACUUCCGACAUUAAUUAUAACCACAACCGCAUUCUGUUCAGCUACUGUAUUGUUCAGAUGACUUCAUUUAUGAAUUAAUUAAGAAAUUUAUUGUCAGUAUAACAUCAUCCAAAACACUGCUUCUCUUGAUAUACAAUAUUAAUUUACAUUAUUUUCUUUCUUGCUUUUUUCCCCUCUGAGUCAUUUGUGAUGUCUUUUGCAGCUCGAAGGAGAAUCCAGGCUCUCUGAUACUCAAAUGGAAAGAGUACAGAGCUUGGCAUAUUCAUGGGACCUUCUUUGCCCCACAGAGAACAAUAGGAAGUGGCUUUUUGAGAAGCUGUUACUUCAUGCAGUUCUUGGACGCGUCGCAAGACAAAUAAAGCAGCUUAGACGAGGCUUGAAAGAAACCCCAAUAUGGUCACUGGAAACUCGGCGGCCUGUUGCUGUACCGCUGCUUUUUCCAAGGGAGGAAGCCUCCCUGUGUCCAGAGGUGGUACUUCAGCAUAUCACUUGGCCAGAAACAGAUGACUGAAGUGAUGAAGAUGACGACUGCUCAAAGGAAACCAGAUGCCACAUUUCAGGAUAUCUGAAACAGUUAAUUGCAAAUGUCUAGCUCUAUCUCAACAUGUGGUUCCAGAACUGAUGUGGAUUUUAAUAAAAAGUAAAACUGUCUUGAAUAUUUCCAGUUACUUUAGUCUUACAAACAUACUAAGUUAUCCAUAUGUUGCGGAUGUAUGAUAAAUUAGAAUUGAAAAUGUGAUUGUGGCUUUGUUCUCUUCCAAAGCCACACCACCUGAACUGAAAGACAUGAUCAAAUUCUGGACCGGAUAGGAAAAUCUGCCGUCAAGUCUGUCUGUGGAGAUUGUUCAUGGAAAAUACCCAACAGCUGCCACUUGCUACGAAACGCUAAGAAUUCCUUGUCACUACAGGAGUUACAAAUCUUUCAGUGAUGAGUUGUUAGCAUGUAUUUGCUCUACGCAAACUGGCUUUGGCUUGCUUUGAAUGAUCGACCUAUUAAAAAAAAAAAACUCUACAUUUAAGCUGUAGCAGUUCUUUGUUUGUGAAGCAGCUUUGUUAAAAUGAAAGUUUUGUUGAAAUGUAGAAUCAAUUCAAUUUUCUGAUUUUGUCAGAUGAUUACAUAUAAUCAUAUGUAUUGAACAUGUGAUUCAAUACAUAUGAAUGUAUUGAAUUCAUAUUCAUAUGUAUUGAAUAUGAAUUCGAUACAUAUGAAUGUAUUCAUUCAUAUGAAUACAUUGAAUGUAUUCAUAUGAAUGAAUGAUUACUAUGUAAUACAUAUGAUACAUAGUAAUCAUAUGUAUUACUCAUUAGAGUACCGUGUUACUCUAGUUCCUCUAGUUUUGUCACAUUCAAAACUAGAGGAACUAGAGUGACAAUGUUCAGAGUAGGUAUUUCAUUUCUCUGAGUCAGUACUGUUUGUACAUGCAGUUUUAAAUAUGAAACUGAAAUUGUUUUUUAUGCAAAAUUUUAUUGAAUGUACUUAGAUGAGUUCAUAUAUGCUUGAAGUAUUAGAAAAUAAAUUACAUAAGACAAACAAAACUUUUUUCUGAUUCUUGUAAUGCAAGAAAUUUAAAGUCCUAGAACAAUGUACAAAUGUACCUACUAGGUUCCUUUUGAGUAAAGAAAAAACAAUCAAAUUACAAAUUUAGAACAUUUUAGUUCUUAAACAUGUCUACCAUAAAGACACUAAAAUUCACCUUUGUGGUAACAUGAUCAGCAUUUUGCUUUACAUUUCAUAAAUGGUGAAUUUUGAAACUGGUACGGAAGCUUAUUGCUAUAAUCCAGGGGGAAAAAAUCAAGCGCUAUCACGUUAUAACGUCAUACGUAUCUUAUUGAAACGUGAUAGUUAUCCUGUUAAAACAUGAUAUGCAUCUUGUAUAAACAUGAUAUUUUUAUGUCCAGGAAGUGGCGGUAUUAUGCUAGGCUAGUACAGUGGCUAACAGGACUUGGUCGAGUUUCCCUUCAUGUUUAGCCUAAAACACGGAGAUACGGAUGCUGCUUUGCACUGUGGUUGAAACCAAUAAUAGCAUGCACACUCUGAGCAGGAUCCUAAACAGAACGGGACUGCACAGAAGGAAACGUCAGUCCGAUCCUCUAGCUGUGGUGGUGAUCCUAACUGAUUCUGGAUUUGAAAAAACUAGUUCUUGAGUGCAGAUAAAGUCCAGGAGAUCCAGAUCCAGGGGCAUACGUUCAAGAACAUACUCCAAAUGAUCACGGAGUCUAUCAAAAAUAUGAUCCAGCAAAAGUUCCUUGAAAAGAGAAAAAACAAAAAAACAUGUCAAAAAAAUUGUCAGUAAAUUAAAAAAGUACUUUCAAAUCAGUAGGUCAGUAUUGAGAAAUCACAGUAAUAUAAAUUAAAUUAUGAUAUUUAAUCUAAAAUAAGUUAACAAAUGUACUUACAAGCAUAUAUUUUUCUUGAAAAUCAGGUAAAAUCAAUUGAAAAAACAAAGGGAGUUGUUUAUAGUGUUGCUAGGUAACAGAACGAGGUUUUAUACCACAAAGUAAAAAGAAUGUAAAUUAAUAUUGUAUAUCAACACUUGUCAGAUAAGAAAAGCAGUAUUUUGGAUGAUGUUAUACUGACAAUAAAUUUCUUAAUUAAUUCAUAAAUGAAGUCAUCUGAACAAUACAGUAGCUGAACAGAAUGCGGUUGUGGUUAUAAUUAAUGUCGGAAGUGUUCACAGCCCCUCCUUGAAGCAUACAAGGCAGCCAUAUUAGCUUAGUACAUUAGCAGUAGCAUCUCCUGAAAAAUUACACUUUACUAAGACUGCCUGUCUCCGUCUCACCUAAGACAACAUCAAACAACCCAGAAAGUCGCCACCCAUCAGUUCUCUUUCAAGAUUCUAGACUUGGCGCAAGUGGUAUUUCUUCUAGAAAUAAAACGGGGUAAAUUGGGUGUGGGGCAGCGGGGAGGGGCUGGGGGGGCUAGUAGGUAGCGAGAAGUAAUAUGCUAGCACUACAUGGUGUAAGAUUAACAACGGCCCAACCCGUGUUUUAAAUCAAGAUUUAAGGUAAUGUAUCAAACUUCAUAUGCAAAAUAAAAUAUACUACAUAAAUAUGAAAGCAUUAAACUCACCGUUGGGUUUGCGGUCGCCUCCAUGGUCGCCAGCCUCGGUGACGCUGGUAUUUCUUCAAUAUGACGGUUGCGUCACGUGAUUAGCUGGGUCCUGGAAUCUGACAUCCAUUGCUAAUGUCUGUGACCUGAAGUAACCUCGCCAUUUUUACAGCGAAUUUUUAGACGCUGAAUUUGAGACAGCGAAUUUGAGCAAGUUGAAUUGGAGGACACUG